rnacentral:rRNA from 1 species
UACGUAGGGGGCUAGCGUUGUCCGGAAUCAUUGGGCGUAAAGAGCGUGUAGGCGGUCCGGUAAGUCCGCUGUGAAAGUCGGGGGCUCAACCCUGGGAUGCGGAUGGAUACUGUCGGGCUCGAGUCCGGAAGAGGCGAGUGGAAUUCCCGGUGUAGCGGUGAAAUGCGCAGAUAUCGGGAGGAACACCAAUGGCGAAGGCAGCUCGCUGGGACGUGACUGACGCUGAGACGCGAAAGCGUGGGGAGCAAACAGG